rnacentral:rRNA from 1 species
GGAUGCGAUCAUACCAGCACUAAAGCACCGGAUCCCAUCAGAACUCCGAAGUUAAGGGUGCUUGGGCGAGAGUAGUACUAGGAUGGGUGACCUCCUGGGAAGUCCUCGUGUUGCAUUCC